rfam:Dichanthelium oligosanthes cultivar Kellogg 1175 unplaced genomic scaffold Do_version_2_scaffold544, whole genome shotgun sequence.
UUGUCCCCUGGAGUUCCCUCCAAACACUUCAGCAGCUAGACCCUAAUGCAGUUUUAUAAUGUGGGACCUGAUUCAAGCUAGUGAAGUGUUUGGGGGAACUCUAGGUGGUAC